rnacentral:tRNA from 1 species
GGAGCCAUGGCUCAGUGGUAGAGCAUCUGCUUGGCAUGUGGAAGCUCCCAAGUUCGAUCCCCAGUACCUCCA